CCCUUAGAUGUCCUGGGCCGCACGCGUGCUACACUGACACUUACACCGAGUUUUUCCGGCCCCGAGAGGUGGCUGGUAAUCAGUAAUAGGUGUCGUGAUGGGGAUAGAUCUUUGGAAUUAUUGAUCUUGAACGAGGAAUGCCUAGUAAUCGUAAGUCAUCAGCCUGCGAUGAUUACGUCCCUGCCCUUUGUACACACCGCCCGUCGCUCCUACCGAUUUCGAGUGGUCCGGUGAACCUUUCGGACAGAGAGAGUCUCGUACAAUCUCUGAAAGUCAAGUAAACCACAUCACUUAGAGGAAGGAGAAGUCGUAACA
rnacentral:rRNA from 1 species